rnacentral:rRNA from 1 species
UACAUAGGGUGCAAGCGUUAAUCGGAAUUACUGGGCGUAAAGCGUGCGCAGGCGGUUGUGCAAGACAGAUGUGAAAUCCCCGGGCUCAACCUGGGAAUUGCAUUUGUGACUGCACGGCUAGAGUGUGUCGAGAGGGGGUAGGAAUCCACGUGUAGCAGUGAAAUGCGUAGAGAUGUGGAGAAUACCGAUGGCGAAGGCAGCCCCGUGGAUACGACUGACGCUCAUGCACGAAAGCGUGGGAGCAAACAGG